rnacentral:rRNA from 1 species
UACGUAGGGUGCAAGCGUUGUCCGGAAUUAUUGGGCGUAAAGAGCUCGUAGGCGGUUUGUCGCGUCUGCUGUGAAAACUCGGGGCUUAACUCCGGGCCUGCAGUGGGUACGGUCAGACUAGAGUGCGGUAGGGGAGACUGGAAUUCCUGGUGUAGCGGUGAAAUGCGCAGAUAUCAGGAGGAACACCGGUGGCGAAGGCGGGUCUCUGGGCCGUAACUGACGCUGAGGAGCGAAAGCGUGGGGAGCGAACAGG